rnacentral:misc_RNA from 1 species
GCAUGCGCCGCACGCCGGUCGCGGUCCUUCCAGAGCCGAAGGUGCUACGAGUGCCAGAUGCGCGCCUGUCCGCAAAGAUGCGGCGUAUGCAAGGGCCUCCGCCGUUGCUGCUGCCCGGCGCGGGUCAGUGGCCUGUGCACCUGAGGCACACCACGCCAUCGCACCUAGAAGCGGGGAGGGGAUUACAACAACUCACAGCAGUAAAAACACAUCUCUGGAUCAAGUCAUCAAGCAGCUUCGGUGCAAGGCGAUUUACGGGGUGAGGUACUUCGUGUACAGUGCAGACGGCGCCCUUUACGCCGGCAGACGUACUCCGAGGAAUUACAGGCAUACACCCGCAAGGCCAAGUUGGCGAAGGCCGCCCACGUGAUUACCGCAACGCAGUCUGGGAGAUGGCAACCCCCCCUCAACAUUCUGUUUCCCUUCAGCGCUGGCUGUGGGAUGGGCGGCUUCAAUCUCAGUUAUGGAUUAACGGCUACUCCUUGGAUUCUAGGUCGGUGCUGGGCCAUGUCACGCUACACCCCUCCCUAUGCACGGCAAUCUUAGAGAACCGACGGUGAUCUGCUGUGCAGCUGACGUUAAACAGUACACAGGCCACCGCUCAGGUUGUUUCGUCGAGCCCCCUUGCUCACCCCGAUGCUGGGAGGACCGCAGCCAGCGUGCGGCGCAUGCACACGGACACGCACGCACAGGUGGGCCCGGUCCAAAUGCAGAGCCGCUACGCGUGCGCAGAUGAGUGUGACUACGGGGAAGGGGACGAGAUGCGGCCCUUGGCCACACGUCUACUUAUCGGAUAAAUGGUACCCGCGAGCGUGGCGAAAAAUGCGGCGAAAUGUGUCCACCCCAGAGGUGGAGGAAUGCUGAGAACCGCAUGCGACCGGCAGGAGUGCCCGCAACAUACAUGGCGUUGUUUCGCCCCUUCGCCUUCACCUCUUUGUUG